UGAGCAAUCUGCCCUUCUCAUCGGAAUAAGCGUUGGAAACGACGUCUAAUGCCGAAUACGACCUCCUUUCGCAUGGAUCGGAGGUGGAAAGCUCCGGCGGAGAAGGAUGAGCUCGCGGCCUAUCAGCUAGUUGGUGUGGGUAAUGGCCCACCAAGGCGACGACGGGUAGCCGGCCUGAGAGGGUGACCGGCCACACUGGGACUGAGACACGGCCCAGACCUCCGUACGGGAGCAG
rnacentral:rRNA from 1 species